CGGCGGCGUGGUCUUCAACAGAGUCGAGGGCCUCGCUACACGGGGCGAGGCGGGCCGGGCCAAGUGGAGCAGGCUAGUGACUUCAGUGUGGAGCCUGAGCUGAUGCCCAAAACGCCAUCUCAGAGGGACCGCCGGAGAAAGAAAUAGUUUUCCUCCAUGCAGGAUAAGAACAAGCCCCCAACCAGGAAAAGGUUGUCCCACUGUGAGAGACUAAGGAGUCGUUGACACAACCACCAGCUACUUCAGAGCAAAGAUAAGCCAGAGAAGCUGGUUCUGGUGGCAGCUGACAAUAGCUCCGUCCCUCGUCGGACUCUAACCCAAGCAGCAGCAGCCU
rnacentral:lncRNA from 1 species